rnacentral:lncRNA from 1 species
GUGUGUGUGUGUGUGUGUGUAUUUCUGGUAAUUCGUGUCUGGGUGCUUGCGAUAUUCAUGGAAUGUUGUUCUUUACACCAGUGGUCAGUUCGUGUGGCUAGGGCUUAAGUCAGCCAUCUGUCUCUGGGUGUGGUCGUGAUUGGUAUCAGUUGGUCGCUCAAUAUGUCUCUGGAACAGUACAGGCUGGGAAAACGCAAAAGGCGUCGUGAGUGAGACAGGCAAAAACUGUCAUACAUAGGAGGAGUGAAGGACAGGAAAAAACAGCGCUCCAAAAGAAGUGUGUCUCAAAACAAACAAUACCUCACAGUGAUGGGAGGAACUGAACUAAAUAAUUUGGGAUGAUGACAUCCAGGUGUGUGAACAGGUUAUUAGAUACCCGGUGAUUGGGAUCUGGAGAGUGAGCUGGAAAGUGGACUGCGUUCCGGGGAUCUAAGUGUUUGGGAGUGUGAGUUGGAUGUAGACGUUACACCGAGUGGGAAAAUACGUUUGAACAGUCAUCCAACUCGGAAUUGCAAAUCGGGAACUCAGGCCUCUUUCUAAAGCUCCGACCUGAAGAUCACUGACGUCAUCAUGUUCCCAAUUUAUCCAGAGAAUGCCAGACUUUGAUGACACUAUUUGGCCACGAAGGACCGACGUGCCACCUUCCUGUUCAAGUGAGCACAGCACAAGCUCUCCCUUCUCUUGGAUUGAGCCUUUUCAGGUCGUAAAAGGGGCCCAGAAAGAGGAGGAUGUCGAACCCAGACACCAAGACGGACCCCUGGCCUCCCCCUCCACCGGCUAGACUCCAGACUGCAGACACCCCUGCCUGGACCAGCACAAACCAGACACAGACAAUACCAGAGCAGCUCACUUUCACAGCUUUGAUUUAAAGAGUUAUAUAGAGGCCAGAGGCCACCUUCAUAUAAGACUGCCCAAUCUCAUAACCUCACUGCCCAACCCUUUAACCAUGUAAAAAUGUAAAUGUAAUGUAAUGCAACCUAUAGAGUGUGUCAUGUCUCACUCAGUCCUUCAGAGAAUCUUGGUUAUCCUUUGGUUUACCAUGAUUCUACCCUACCCUCAUAAGAACGAUUCACUCUUACUGACAAUAGAGAUAUACACUGAGUAUACCUAACAUUAGGUAUACCUUCCUAGUAUUCUAGGGUAGUGUAAUAGUUGUGUAACAGUGUGUAAUGCCAAUUUAAGUAAGUUGUGGGCCAUUCUCGAACAGACCAGGCUUACUUUACUGUUAAGACAGAGUAAGGUUUGUUUGAAGCCCGUUGUGGGAUAAAAAGGGAGUUAUGUAAACUGUGGAUUAGGGUUGUUUUGUAAAGGGAUAUACCCCCCAGAAUGAGAUUGGAAUUUGGUUUUGGACUGGCUCUGUGGGCCUGUUUUUAACAGGCAUACCUGCACAUGCUAAUAUGUCUGCAUACCAAAUGAGCACCCUAUAUUCCCUACAUAGUGCACUACUUUUACAUAAUACAAGUAAAACCCUGUCUGUGAUUCUCUAUCCCUCUCUCCCUACAUCCCUCUUUCCUUCUCACGCACAUUCCUCUUGCUAACUCCCUCCCUCGCUCUCUCCAUCACUAUCUAUUCUGUCUGUCUCUGGGUGCCUCAGCUGAGUAGCUCAGUUGCUGCAAUGCUACAUGAUCUGGUUUUCAAUGCUAGAGCAGAGCUGCUAGUUAGAGGGGGAAGGGUGCUGUGGUAUGGGAACUCAGGCUAGACAGACAGUUAUCUACAAGCCCAGGAUCCACCAUAGAGAGAGGGUACAUUUUCUUCCCUAUAAUGUACACUUUCUUCAACACACCACCAUCUCCCUCCUCCAAUUCAUCCUUGAUCUUCUCCCCAUUUCUGAGCCCCAGAGCCACCCUGUACAUCCCGCCCUCUGCAUCCCAAAGCCCCCCUUUAUCCUCCACCCUUCCUUCCCCUUUCCUCAUUCUGCAACCCAAAGCCAUGCUGUACCCCCUUUCCUUCCACCCCCUUCUGCACCCCAAAGUCACCCUGCACUCCCAUCCCAUCCCCCUCUUCUGCACCAUUUUGCCCCCCUCCUCCUUCUCAGUGCCAUGUUCUCUCCGUUCAUCUGCCAGUGUCUUUCCUGCCUGUGGGGCCAAUGGGUCAGCAGUUUGAUAAACACAUAAAGCAGCCUUGCUACACCAUGAAGGCCCCUGAUGGCCCCUGGUGGCCCAUGACACUAGUUCCCACAGCCCGCCUGUCUGUCACUCCAACUGACUGACAACAGUCACCCUAACCCUCUCUUCACACCCCUCCCACCCAUUAAUCCCCAUCCCUGCCCCCCACCCUGGACAGUUGACAAUCCGUUAGAGAAGGGAUGGGCGUCUCUUUCUCUCCCCCUCUCACUCACUCUCGAUCUUCUCCCCAUUUCUGGCCCCCAGAGCUACCCUGAAGAGCCAAAAAGAAAUCAGAUCAUUCUGGAUCCUAUUUUAACAUCAAAAUAUCAAUCAUGGAAUACCUGGAUAUGUUAUAUGAAAUAGCUUACUUUUUGAAUCAUAGGCUUCCAUCUCAGUUGUCUUACAUGGUACUGGAUUUUUUGUUGUUGUCUAGAGCUCUGCCAUUAAUGUAAAGUAGUCCUAACUGUCCAUACAAAAUAUAUAUAUUGUUGUAUUUGUUGUUAUUGAGCAAAGUAGUUACAUUUAUCACAAUAUUACUUUUUCUCCAUAACGCCCAGCUCUAGCAACUCCCCCAAAAAUUACUUAUGGUAAUUGCUCGCUGAUUUAUCAUUGUCACAAAAAAUGGGUACAUUUAUUACGAUAUGGAUUUUUUUCCAUAUCUCCCAUCUCUACCCUGAUGCCACCCUCCCCCUUGCAAAAUAACACAGAUGCUCCUGUGAAGCCAGAGCCCUAUACUAUGAAUAAGGUUUGAGGAGUUAGCGAAGUAACUUUGGUCAACUCUGAAUUCAACUCGGGAUAACAGGUACCACAAAAGUGGUUCAACUUUUAGCCAGGUACAUUUCUAUGGCAACCAAUCCUUCAGAACUAAUCUGCUACAGGGCAGGCUAACUCAGGGCUAACUCCAUUUAUCCUGAAGGAAGUGUGAGUUGAGGACCAAUGAAAUCAGAUUCAAGUCAAAUGUUUUAUUUGUCACAUGCGCCGAAUACAAGCCCUUAACCAACAAUGCAGCUUUAAGGAGCCUUUUGGACCUAGACUUGGCUCUCCGGUACCGCUUGCCACGCGGUAGCAGAGAGAACAGUCUAUGACUUGGGUGACUGUAGUCUUUGACCAUUUUUUGGGCCUUCCUCUGACAUCGCCUAGUAUAUAGGUCCUGGAUGGCAGGAAGACUGGCCCCAGUUAUGUACUGGGCUGUAUGCACUACCCUCUGUAGCACCUUACGGUCAGAUGCUGAGCAGUGAGCAGUUACCAUACCAGGAGGUAAUGAAACCAGUUCAGAUGCUCUCGAUGGUGCAGCUGUAGAACUUUUUGAGGAACUGGGACCCAUGCCAAAUCUUUUCAUGCCAAUUCCCUCCCUCUCGCAAAUAUUGUCAUCAUCACCUUCAUUUGAGGAAGAUGACUGAUUCAAUAUUUUAUUAAUCAAAUGUUUUUUUGUGUUAAAAUACCUAUCACAUUACACAUUUACUGUAGUAAUGACAGAAUGCAUUUGAAAUGUCAUGCACAGUAAAACUUUUGUCUGACUUAAUACAAUUCUAUUAUUGAUAGGAAUGGGAGAAAAGGGUGCUUGUGUACACCAAAGCACACCAAAGAUGGCAUUGAUGAUAAGUAAUAAAAUAAAGUUGGCACUUCUUACAAGCCUAUUUCACUCCAUAGCCUGCUGAAUUUGCAAGAUAACUUUUCUUUCAUUUUUUAUUCUCAGCAUAAAUUAAAAUAUGACAUU